GCAACAAUUACCUACAUGAUGAGGCAUGAAGAACACCUCCAAAGAGAAUGCCUUUCCAAUCUUGUUAAAUAAAAACUCCAUGCCAUCUUCUGAUGUCUUUGCAAUUUCACCCCAGUAGAGAAAGUGGUCGUUAUUUACAACCCUGCCACUGAAAUCAGUCUGAAAGAGAACAAGCAGGUUUUAGACCAGCAGAACUUAGCACAAGCGCACGGACUUUAUCGCAUGAGGAAUGUAACACCACCACCUCUCACACUUCAAACCACAUUUGCAAACAUGCGACCAGUGCACAUGAGAAUGGAGGCCCCCAUGGCACGAACACGGGUGAAACGAUAAUACUCCAAGUUCACCCCCCAAGAUGCUUACAAUGCCCACUCAACACGAUGGCGCUGAUGGGGGUCAACGUGAAAUACGGAGAUCUAAUCGGCUAAACAGGGCAACGAAGUAAUAACAUUGGAAUGUUUGAAUUGAAGUAUGCUAGAUACAAUCCAAGUAGUUUAUAUAAAUUGGGAAUUUUAAUUAGUUCCUUCGCUACUAUAUAGCUGAUUCACAACAUAUCUGUGGCAUUUUCGGAUUAGUUUGUCAAAUAGAAAAUCCCUUAUUUAAAUGUUUUUCCUGUCGGCCUACAAGAGAUCUGUUCCCAAAUCAAUAAUGAUUCAGCCAGACAAACGUGGGAGGAGAGUGGAAUUAAAAACAAAAUAUCUCAACAAAACUGGGGGAAAUUGUUAAUAGUUAUAAUAAAUUGCGUGCAAUGUUCUUGCAUUCUGCGUACCUUCACUCUUUGACUUUUAAGUGAUACUAAUUUCGUUAAACAUCCUUAGUUUGCAAUUUUCGCCUCAUUUGCCCUCUUUGUGGUCUCUCUCAAAAAGUUAUUUCCAGUAGUAAUGUAAGUAGUUUCAUAUAUGCAAUUUAAAUUCUUCUCCUUCCCCUCUGCCCCCCACCCCAUCUGGCGCUAGCGAGCAGUAGGAGAGACUUGUAACUCAGAAGUAGGUUGUAUUCUUAAGGAGUCAGUAUUUUCGAUACGCACUUUGAAAGUGUCAUAUUGAUAACAAUUCCCUUAGAUCGUCAGUAUACAUUACUAAGUAGUUAUACACCUUCCGCAGACUAUUUAGGAACAUAGCCUGUAUGACAAAUUAAAUAUAAUAAUAUAUAUUACAGACUGACAUCCGCAAAAGUAGACACGUGUGUUUCAGGAGUAAAAAGAAAUAGAAUAAGUUCCUGAAGUAUAUGCGAAGGCCAACUUAAAUUUUGAAUCUCGAAAUAGGUUUCGCAGCCCAAAGUUUUGUAAUGAAAAAAGAAAAGACUAUUAAACUUACAAGACGCAGUUCGUGUGCUUCAGAUGAACUAACACUACGGAUAGGCCUAUGCAAGUACCCGCUGGACAGACCAGACGGUUUCCGGCGCUGAAAUGGACGGCGCAGCAGUAGCGUCUUUCUUGAGGAUCUACCUAUUGGUACGCUCAACUAAUCAAGAAAUUCUCAGACUUUUCUGGAACCAAAAGAUUCAUUACCGUGUUCACAUGACCCCGCCUCCGAUCUCUAUUCUGAGUCAGAUGAAUUCAAUCUACAUUCCCAAACCCUUCGACUCUAAGAACCAUUUUAAUAUUAUCCCCCAAUAUACGCCCAGGUCUUCCUAUUUGUUUCUUCUCUCCAGACUUUCCCAACUGCCUGAUGCGCGCUGUAUGCCCUGCCCAUCUCAUUCUCCUUGAUUUGAUUAUCCUAAUAAUAUUUGACGAAGAGUGAAACACGCGGAGCUUCUGACUGUGCAGUUUUCUCCAGUCUGUUGUUAAUUUAUUCCUCUUAAAUAUCCUGCUAUCAACAUUACGAUUUGCAGUACAAGACAUUGAUUUUAUUAUAUAGCGAGAGACACCGGUUAAAUUAAUUUGUUAAAAAUAUAACUUUCCCAUUAAAAAUAUACAUUAUUACGCCAAAUUCAACACUUGAAUUCCCAUAUCAAUACUUGAGAAAAUAUCUGGUUUUGAGGUCUUGUCAAUGUUCUUUUAAAGGGUGAAAUAUUUUAUUCUGAUCAUAAUAACCCUCAUGUUAUGAGGCUUUCUUAUCUGCACAGUUCACAAUUAUAGCAUCGAAUAAUAAUUGUUACGGUGGCUGUAAAAUUUUAAUUGAAAAGUGUACAAUUGUGAUCAGUUUUAACAAACGAUCUCAGUACUUUCCUGGAUGGACUGGGUAAAACCACAGAACCCUCGGCCAUGACAGUCGAUAUACGUACCGAGAUUGGAACCCGUUAUCUCCUUAAUACAAAGCGGCACUGCUAAACAUUCGACCGUGAUUUCUGAUAACGUAACAGUGAAAGGUUUUUAAUCAUGCAACUUUUAGGUAAUUAGUUUAUUAUAGUGUUUCGAAGCAGAAUUUUCAGCGCACCGGGAAAUAAGCAAGAAAUGGGCAGUGCCUCUAACAAUUCAACGCAAGAAUUAACAGCGAUGUGUGUCAAGAUCCUACGCCACAGAGAAACUAUGGUGGCUGAAAAGGAAGCUUUUGCUUUCGCAGUAAAAUUGCAGUUAUUUGUUUAAGAAACAGCAAAUACUCAUGCAAUCGCUGUAAUAGCUUAAAUGUAGAAAGAUGUUCUGGGAGACAUUUGGAUAGUCAACACGGUUUGAAGAAUUCGUACAUGAACUAUGACAAUGCAGAAUUUGCCUCACGUGAAUCUACGCAGAUUUCUGAAGAUCUCAGCACCCAAACGUUGCUAAUGAUCUAAAUUGAAGGCGCAAGAAUACAUAAAAUAUCGUAACAUCUCCGACCACACUUUUCGGAUAAAACUGGACGCUGAGGAAAUUCUGUUGUUCCUUGUUGGCACAGAACCAAAAAUGCAACUUCGAGUGAAUAAAAUGUGUUAAUUCAUGCUAAAAUGUUAAAACAGCAAUACUCACAACUAUGGUCGGGUCGUAGUUUGAUAAUCCCUAUAAUCCCCUAAAAGAGUAUUGGCCGACAUUCGCGUGUUUUCCAGUUUGACAGGCACAUCGCCAAAAACUCUGCUUGAGAAUGGAUCACCUGCCGUUAUUACACCACGGCUAGAAGUGCUGGUGUAUCUCUGACCAUCACAAACCUGCGAUAGCAAGCUUCGACGUUUGCAGUCCAAGAGAAGAGCUAGCAACUACGCUACGUUCUUACGCCUGAACUGGGGCUUCCAACGUCACAUGCAGACGGGACCAAGGACCAUUAAAUCGUGGCGCCUGUGAAAUGACGCAGAAAAGUAGUGAGAAAGGGAGAAGAUAAAGGUAACAAGAAAAAACCAAAAAUAGAUUCGGAAAGCAGGAAAUGAAGUCAAGAAAAUAGUCUUAUGCCUGCAUGAACUGUCGUUACAGUGAUUACAGGAUGUAUUCUCUGCAAGACGACUGAAUCUAUAAUUAUGACGUCAUCGAGGGUUUAAUUAACAUUCGUCCAUCACCCAUCGUCAUUGGUAUUACGUGUAAAUGUAUUGGAAGGCCAGAAUUAGUACGUGAUAGCGAAACAUUUCAUCAGACGAAUGAAAACGUAUGCCAACCCCCAUUCUCGUUAUUCUUGCCCAAGAGACCGACCGAUUAUAGCCAUUACGCCUUCUGACUACAGCUAUUUUCUAAAUCCUAUUCAGGCUUUUGCAGAUGACAAUCGGAGUGCGACUCAGUCAGUAAAACUGCAAUCUGCAAUACGUUUUUAUAUUUUCUUAGAUUUAUUAAAUUUGCUUUUUAAGUUUUUAUUUAUAUAAUUAAUUUUAAAUUGUAUAACUUGGUCUCGAUUUCUUUAAUAUAUAAGAAUGCAACUUCUUGUUAUUACUUGAUAUUUUUGAUGUUAUAACUUUUGAACUCUUAUUGCAUUUUUUAAAUUUCUGACUCUUCUUGAGGGAGACGAAAUUUCUUAGAUGACUUUUGAAUAGCCACUGCCUAUUCUGAACAAAGAGACAGACACACAAAAACACUAAACAGCUAACGUUGUGGAACGUAAUCUUUCAUGAGAAGCUAAUAAUUGCUCAGGUCGUAAAUACUUUUCCCACCUUUUAUGGUACACGAAGGCGUGUUACCGUAUUGACAAUAGACCACCACUGGAGUCUAUUCUGAGCCAGAUGAGUCAAGUACAUAUACCCCAGACGCUGUCUCUUGAAAGUUCCACUCCCAUCUAUGCCUUACUCUCCCAGAUGCUCUUUCUUCGUAUUCAGAUUUUCUGACUAAGAGCCAUUGUGCUUUUAUCUUAUGUGCAACAUGCCCUUCAUUUGAUAACCUUAAUAAUAUUUAGUAAAGAGAAAACACACAUUCUAUAUACUUUAAAAUUAUAAAUUAUUUCACAGUUACCUCCAGUCUGUUCGUUUCAAAUAUUCAUUUCAUCAUUAUGAUCUUGAAAACCCCUUCCUUUAGCGCAAGAUAUCAAGAUUUGCACCCAUACAGAAAGCAC